rnacentral:lncRNA from 13 species
UCCAAGAUGUUAGUUGUGUUUUGUGUCCUCAUUAUUUCUAGUCAUGUUGCAUGAAACUGACAGUCAAAAUAAUGGAUUGCGUUAAUUGCACUGCGUUAAUGUUGGGCAAUAUUUGGGAACAGCUCUUCUAUGAUAUGCUACUCCAAAUAUCAUGAUAUCUGAUAUAAUCGUUUUGUGCCGUUAAUAACUAAAUCACUCCUGACUGUGCAAUUUUUGUGCUUAUUUACGAUAUAUUCACAUUUUCGAUAAAUUAUUUUUGUAUGGUGAAAAAAUAUGGCUUAGUUAAUAUGUUUAGACUUCAUUUUAAACUUAUUGAACUGAACAAUUGCACAGUUUUGAUUUGCAAAGUUCAAAUAGAGUAUAGUCUUGCACAAAAUAUCAUCUUGCACUUUCACAGUAUAUCAAUCGCUGCCCGCACCCGCCCGCCCGUCUAGCAUCACUACUCUGGACGGACUUAGAAUAUGUGGACAACUACAAAUACCUAGGUGUCUGGUUAGACUAUAAACUCUCCUUCCAGACUCACGUUAAGCAUCUCCAAUUCAAAAUUAAAUCUAGAAUCGGCUUUCUAUUUCGCAACAAAGCAUCAUCAAUGUUAAAUAUCACAAUAUUCGAUUUAAUUAUAUUUCGGCCCAACCCUGCACUGCAUAGCAUGAUGACCCAUUUUUUGGGUGCAUUGGAAUAGUCAAAAAUGGCUUCCUUUUCUUAUCCCCUGUCCUUCAUCUGCACUGAUCUGAAAUCAGGGCAUAGGUCAAAGCAAUAGGGUGGAUGCCCAUAUUGAGCAUUUGUUUUAAUCUGUCCAGGUCUUUCAGAUCAGUUUAGAUGAAAGGGAGGAGAUGAAGGGAGGAUGCUCGGAUGUCUCCUCGGUCCUCAUUCACCUUGACAGUUGGGUGUCUUCACUCAAUACUUUGCUCUGUCAGCCGAACAGCCCUAACUGUGGGAAAGUGCCUCUGCAUUUGGAUCUGGCCAAGUGAAGCGGAACUGUGGUGGCUAGUGGCUAGUGUUGUGGACCAGAUGGCGGAGUUAGCCGUUUGCUACCUCAUGGUAAGUGAAACAAAUUGCUCCAACUGAUUGCAAGCAGACCACCUCAGGCGAUCUUAUUCAACUGCACCGUGCCGCUGGUAGAGUAUCCACACUUCACUCUGAAGCCUGUAUUUCUUGUUAGUUAAUGUCAAACAAAAUAAAAAAUGUUACUAGGUCCAAUGUUGUGCAUCAUUAUGCAUUUGCACUCAUUUACAACAAUGUGUAAGUGUUCAAAAUAGUCCUCUGUAAAUGUGACAUUUUUUUAGGCAAGCAAUGCAAACCAAAGAGCAAGCAAAGAUUGUGAAUGUUGAUGUGGGCUUAGUCUCUCUAUUAAUUCAGCACCACAAAGCAGUGAAAAACUAAAAGCACUACACAAAGCUUUCAACUGUACCAUUGUCAAUAAUUGCAGGUCUCACUCCAAGUACUUUUUAAAGAUGCGGUAGUAAAUUACAUUUAAGGGGAAGAUAGUGCUUUGGCAGUGCGCUGAUGUCCCAAUCUCACGUCUGUUUCAUGUGGUGUAAAUGAGUGCAAAUUGCAUAUCAGCCCCCAUCAUUGCCCCCAUCAUUGUUCAUUUUGUUUCGUGGGGCAUGGGGUGGACAAAUGUACCCCGGGAUCAGAUGGUAUCUUCCGCAUGGGCACUGAGACAACAGCAUUACAGGCACUCCAUUUUGACAACUGAAAAGAUAAUUGUCAGGUUGAACUAAACACAGGCUCUGAAUACUCUUAAAAUGCAUUCUAUCCUUCCUCCCUCCCUUCACUGAUCGGACUUGACUUGAUUAGUGCAAGCAAGCUUUCCUCUGCAUUGCUUUCGCCAGAUGUCAUCAUGUCAGAUCAGUGAUUACCACAUGACCCUUGAAGGAAAGAAAGAAGGAAAGGAUGGAUUAAUUUUAAUAUUAUAUGCUAGUGUAGGGGACUGAUAGCGUUGGUUUGUCUAGUAGUCAGAGGUAUGACAAUGCAGUUCGAUGAAUAACAGAAACAUAUGCUGCAUGAAAUCAUUCAUUGCUUUUCCUGAUAAAUGUUACUGUAGUUCAACAGGUCCUUUGAUAAAUCACUCCUCUGCCUUAUCUGUGUUUGGUUUUCGGGACGGAGAGCCAUGUUAUUGAUGCACACUGCUUAUUACAAACAGGACGUGUUCAAACCUGGGCAAGCGCAGUGGGGGCAGUAUUAUGAAUGAUAACUUUUUACAUUUUUGAAAAGAUU